UUUUAUGGAGAGUUUGAUCCUGGCUCAGAGUGAACGCUGGCGGCGUGCCUAAUACAUGCAAGUCGAACGAUGAAGCUUCUAGCUUGCUAGAAGUGGAUUAGUGGCGCACGGGUGAGUAAGGUAUAGUUAAUCUGCCCUACACAAGAGGACAACAGUUGGAAACGACUGCUAAUACUCUAUACUCCUGCUUAACACAAGUUGAGUAGGGAAAGUUUUUCGGUGUAGGAUGAGACUAUAUAGUAUCAGCUAGUUGGUGAGGUAAUGGCUCACCAAGGCUAUGACGCUUAACUGGUCUGAGAGGAUGA
rnacentral:rRNA from 1 species